GGCCGCAGUCGGACCGCAAAGUUUUCCGCCGGUGAUUCCGGUGAGCCGCACGGUCGGGCGUGCCCCCCAAAAUGGCCCCCGUAGGUGGACAAAUGUGGUUUACGAUCCCAGCAGGCAGAACUGGGCAAAAGAACUCCUCUCCACGGAACAACUUCCGGUGCCGGACCCAGCAAGCUGGCUGGUAGUGUGGCGUCCACAGGACCUCCGAGACUCGCGAGGAGCAGCAGGUGCGGGAAGUUUUACGUUGUGCAGCUCGUUGGAUUCAGACCGUGCCGCGAUCAUGUCCCGGGGGAUGUAGCGGGUAAUUUUUUUGUCAUUUCGAGGCUGUUUUCCUGGUGCUGGUCAAGUUGGCUGUGACCGUGAUACGUCCGGAGGAAACGCAGUCAUCAAUUCUUUUGAUCACUUCUUUCGAAACUUCAACAACAAACUGGCCAGCUACCAGAUCGACAGUCUAAUAGCGCUUAUCGACGCCUUGCCACACGACUACCGGUCGAAACCGGUCGACCACGAGUUUGUUCAGGAAAAGCAGUGGGGUUUCUGGGAGUUGGACCACAAAUCGGCACUAGCUCCGUCCGCGAACGCCAAGACCAAGCCGGCCCCGCGUACGCUGCUCAUUUCGUUCCGCUUGACCGGAAACAUCCCAAACGGCAGUCCUCCCCUGCGGCAGACCUUUGACUAAACGGCAAAAACAUCCGCACCAUGUUCGUGAGCAAGGGUGACGAAAAUGUGUUUUUCUGUCGAACGGUGCUGUACGGAGAAACCGCCGAGGAGAUUCAAGUCAAGGACAACCGGGAAACCCGUGUGGAACGCUCUCUACAUCAUCGAAGUAAUCAUCCUCGGCGACAUCGACGUCCACACCUUCCCGCUGGCCAAGCGCAGUGCCCUUUGCACCAAGUUCGCAACCGCGCUGAACCGGUCGCUGUGCCACCUCAGUACCAAUUCGGUCCGCCCGGUUCCGGUUCGCGCCAAGCAGCUGUACGCUCUACACGCUCAAGAGCGGCACCAAGGCUACGGAUAAGCCGUUGAGCGGUUCGAGCCGCGCAAAACCCAGCGCUUUUACAUUCCGCUGUUGGAGGUGGACAGGAUUUUUAGACCGAAGUGGCACGAUUUGUCUGAGAGGAGGGAUUCAUAACGGAAUGUAUGGAACGAGAAACACCUCCGUUGACCACUAUUCGUGACGUCUGGACGUGGUUCGUGUCAAGCAAGCUCGCCUGAAUGACGUCGAAGCCCGUUUGCCGUCGACAGAUUCCUCAUUUCCGCCGAGUCCAAGACGUCACUCAGCGGGAUCGCGAACCGACCGGACAGAGGCGGUUGUCUAACAGCACGGUUACGACGAUUGGGCCACCCAAAAUACGAGCACAAGAAGUUGAGUGUUCGCGACUUUGCUGGUCCCUCGAAGCAAGCCCCAGCGUCCUCAGGUGGUCCAAGCCAUGGCCGAUUUGGGGGACUGAUCGACAACACCGAAGCUAAUGCUCUCAAGGGAAUCACCGGCUCGAAUCUGCAAACUUUGCAGCCAAACUUCAAGGUUCUUUCCGACACGAAAAUCGCCGGAAACUUGGUCGACUGCAAGCGCAAACUAAUCCUGCGUGAUCUGAAACUGGCGCCAAAAGACUCGUGAUUAAUUAUUGUCAUAGGGAUGACCAAACAACUUAGAUACAUCUAAAAG